GACGAACGCUGGCGGCGUGCUUAACACAUGCAAGUCGAACGGAAAGGCCCCAGCUUGCUGGAGUACUCGAGUGGCGAACGGGUGAGUAACACGUGGGUAAUCUGCCCUGCACUCUGGGAUAAGCCUGGGAAACUGGGUCUAAUACUGGAUAUGACCUUUCUCCUUAUGGGGUUUGGUGGAAAGUUUUUCGGUUUAGGAUGAGCCCGCGGGCUAUCAGCUUGUUGGUGGGGUGAUGGCCUACCAAGGCGACGACGGGUAGCCGGCCUGAGAGGGUGAACGGCCACAGUGGGGCAUGGAGAAGGCCCCGACUCCUAUGGGAGGGAGGAGGGGGGAAAAUUGCCCAAUGGGGGGAAGGCUGUUGCAGGGACGCCGCGGGUGGGAAGAAGGCCUUCGGGGUUUAAAACCCUUUUGCCCGGGAAGAAGGGAGAGGGGCCGUCACGGGUAAAGAAGGCCCGGGAAAAUAAGUC
rnacentral:rRNA from 1 species